UGGGGAAUUUUGACAAUGGGCGAAGGCCUGAUCCAGCAAUGCCGCGUGUGUGAAGAAGGCCUUCGGGUUGUAAAGCACUUUUGUCCGGAAAGAAAUCCUUGGCUCUAAUACAGUCGGGGGAUGACGGUACCGGAAGAAUAAGCACCGGCUAACUACGUGCCAGCAGCCGCGGUAAUACGUAGGGUGCAAGCGUUAAUCGGAAUUACUGGGGCGUAAAGCGUGCGCAGGCGGUUUGCUAAGACCGAUGUGAAAUCCCCGGGCUCAACCUGGGAACUGCAUUGGUGACUGGCAGGCUAGAGUAUGGCAGAGGGGGGUAGAAUUCCACGUGUAGCAGUGAAAUGCGUAGAGAUGUGGAGGAAUACCGAUGGCGAAGGCAGCCCCCUGGGCCAAUACUGACGCUCAUGCACGAAAGCGUGGGGAGCAAACAGGAUUAGAUACCCUGGUAGUCCACGCCCUAAAACGAUGUCAACUAGUUGUUGGGGAUUCAUUUCCUUAGUAACGUAGCUAACGCGUGAAGUUGACCGCCUGGGGAGUACGGUCGCAAGAUUAAAACUCAAAUGAAUUGACGGGGUCAUAGCUGUUUCCU
rnacentral:rRNA from 1 species